rnacentral:rRNA from 1 species
UACGGAGGGUGCAAGCGUUAUCCGGAUUCACUGGGUUUAAAGGGCGCGUAGGCGGGCCGCCAAGUUCGAGGUGAAAUCCUCCGGCUCAACCGGAGAACUGCCUCGAAUACUGGAGGUCUCGAGGGUGGUAGGGGCACGCGGAACUGUGGGUGGAGCGGUGAAAUGCGUUGAUAUCCACAGGAACUCCGGUGGCGAAGGCGGCGUGCUGGACCACAUCUGACGCUGAGGCGCGAAAGCCAGGGGAGCAAACGGG